CCAGCAGCUCCUCCAUCAUGGAGGACGUUCCCUCACUGUAACAGGUGGAGGAGAGAGGAGAGGAAGCACAGGUGGAUCCUCUGAGGAAGAGGAGCGUUCCUACAAACCACAUGAUCACAUGACCAGAGGGGCGUGGCCUUCAGUGGUAGUAAUAAAGGAACAGUCCA